AGAAAGCUUGCUUUCUUGCUGACGAGUGGCGGACGGGUGAGUAAUGCUUGGGAAUCUGGCUUAUGGAGGGGGAUAACGACGGGAAACUGUCGCUAAUACCGCGUAGUGUCGAGAGACGAAAGUGCGGGACUGAGAGGCCGCAUGCCAUAGGAUGAGCCCAAGUGGGAUUAGGUAGUUGGUGGGGUAAAGGCCUACCAAGCCUGCGAUCUCUAGCUGGUCUGAGAGGAUGACCAGCCACACUGGAACUGAGACACGGUCCAGACUCCUACGGGAGGCAGCAGUGGGGAAUAUUGCGCAAUGGGGGGAACCCUGACGCAGCCAUGCCGCGUGAAUGAAGAAGGCCUUCGGGUUGUAAAGUUCUUUCGGUAUUGAGGAAGGUUGAUGUGUUAAUAGCACAUCAAAUUGACGUUAAAUACAGAAGAAGCACCGGCUAACUCCGUGCCAGCAGCCGCGGUAAUACGGAGGGUGCGAGCGUUAAUCGGAAUAACUGGGCGUAAAGGGCACGCAGGCGGUUAUUUAAGUGAGGUGUGAAAGCCCUGGGCUUAACCUAGGAAUUGCAUUUCAGACUGGGUAACUAGAGUACUUUAGGGAGGGGUAGAAUUCCACGUGUAGCGGUGAAAUGCGUAGAGAUGUGGAGGAAUACCGAAGGCGAAGGCAGCCCCUUGGGAAUGUACUGACGCUCAUGUGCGAAAGCGUGGGGAGCGAACAGGAUUAGAUACCCUGGUAGUCCACGCUGUAAACGCUGUCGAUUUGGGGGUUGGGGUUUAACUCUGGCGC
rnacentral:rRNA from 1 species